rnacentral:rRNA from 1 species
ACGGCUCAGUAACACGUGGCUAACCUACCCUUGGGACGAGAAUAACCCCUGGGAAACUGGGAUGAAUACUCGAUAGAUGAGGAAAUCUGGAAUGAUUUUUCAUUUAAAAGAUCUUAGGGCCAUGCUUCCUAAUGUCGCCCAAGGAUGGGGCUGCGGCCGAUCAGGUUGUUGGUGAGGUAACGGCUCACCAAGCCUAUAACCGGUACGGGCCGUGAGAGCGGUAGCCCGGAGAUGGGCACUGAGAUAAGGGCCCAAGCCCUACGGGGUGCAGCAGCUGCGAAAACUCCACAAUGCGCGAAAGCGCGAUGGGGCUACCCCGAGUGCUGUCCGCUGAGGGUAGCUUUUCUUUGGUGUAAUGAGUCAAAGGAAUAAGGGGAGGGCAAGACUGGUGUCAGCCGCCGCGGUAAUACCAGCUCCUCGAGUGGUGGGGAUAAUUAUUGGGCUUAAAGCGUCCGUAGCCGGCUUACUAAGUCUUCCGUUAAAUCCAGCGACUUAAUCGUUGGACUGCGGGAGAUACUGCUAGGCUAGGGGGCGGGAGAGGCCGACGGUAUUCUUGGGGUAGGGGUGAAAUCCUAUAAUCCUGAGAGGACCACCAGUGGCGAAGGCGGUCGGCUAGAACGCGCUCGACGGUGAUGGACGAAAGCUGGGGGAGCGAACCGGAUUAGAUACCCGGGUAGUCCCAGCCGUAAACGAUGCGGGCUAGGUGUUGAGGCGGAUACGAGCCGCUUCAGUGCCGCAGGGAAACCGUUAAGCCCGCCGCCUGGGAAGUACGGUCGCAAGGCUGAAACUUAAAGGAAUUGGCGGGGGAGCAC